UGGGGAAUAUUGCACAAUGGGCGAAAGCCUGAUGCAGCAACGCCGCGUGAAGGAUGAAGUAUUUCGGUAUGUAAACUUCUAUCAGCAGGGAAGAUAACGACGGUACCUGACUAAGAAGCCCCGGCUAACUACGUGCU
rnacentral:rRNA from 1 species